UACGUAGGGUGCGAGCGUUGCCCGGAUUUAUUGGGCGUAAAGGGCGCGUAGGCGGCCACGCACGUCCGUUGUGAAAUCGCCCGGCUCAACUGGGCGGGGUCAGCAGAUACGGUGUGGCUCGAGCAAGCUAGGGGGCAAUGGAAUUCCCGGUGUAGUGGUGGAAUGCGUAGAUAUCGGGAGGAACACCAGUGGCGAAGGCGGUUGCCUGGAGCUUUGCUGACGCUGAGGCGCGAAAGCGUGGGGAGCGAGUCCGG
rnacentral:rRNA from 1 species